rnacentral:tRNA from 1 species
CUGAGAGAUAUCUCACUUGGUAGAGCAUGAGACUCUUAAUCUCAGGGUUGUGAGUUUGAGCCCCAUGUUGGGUGAAAGA